GACUUGGCGGCGGGUGCCAUGCGUCUGGAGCUUCACAUUCUCUGCCCCCCACCCACCGCGCCGGCGCUCCCUUGUCACGCCUCGGGAAGCGCGCACCUGCCAAGCAGGAUGAAUAAUCUGAUAUCAUGUGAAAUGAGGAAAUAAGAAGCUUUCUGCUGACUUCAUUUUGACCCAGGGUCCAAAAGGUGAUGUAAUCCUGUGGCAAGAAGAUUCAAAACUGUGGACUAUCUUGCAAAAAAUACAAGAAGAUAUUGAAAGUUUUCAUGAGUGCCUACCACCUAAUCUCAAACACUAUCAUUCAUAUGUGCCUCAUUGAGCAAAUCUUUAAUGAGGAUCUAUAUGCCAGCAAUAUCUUUUGCUUGGGAGCAGAAACAGAAAGUACAUGAUGGACUUCAUUGAAGGAUGGAGAUUUGGAAGACAUGAAUGGAUGAAGAACCAAGUGCGUGAGGGCACCUAUCAGGAUUAUUGCUGAAAUCCUUAUGGAGUUAACUGGCUGAGAGGAAGUAGAGAUGGGGUUUCACCAUGUUGCCCAGGCUGGUCUCAAACUCCUGAGCUCAGGCCAUCUGCCCGCCUCGGCCUCCCAAAGUGCUAGGAUUACAGAAGGUGCCUGCUUCCCCUUCACCUUCCACCAUGAUUGUAAGUUUCCUGAGGCCUCCCCAGACAUGUGGAACUGUGAGUCAAUUAAAUCUCUUUUCUUUAUAAAUUACCCAGUCUCAGGUAGUAUCUUUAUAGCGGUAUAAAAACAGACUAAUACAAACAGGUAGCUCUAAAUUGUGAGUUUUUCUUAACUCCUUUGAUCUUCUGUGAUAGCGAUUUUUCACAUUUCACACUUCCCUAAUGCCAAAAAUCCACCUCCAGCAGCUGUUUUGCCUCUUUCUUAUCCUGCCCCUUGGAAGAAUGUCAUCAUUAUUGCUGCCACAGCACUGUGUUCUUUUUCAGAAGUUACA
rnacentral:lncRNA from 1 species